UUGAUGAGUUCUUAGUGAAAAAUGAUCCUUGCAGGGUUCAUCAUCAUGGGAGUAAAAUGUUACGUUCGGAAUCAAACUCUUCAAUUACUACUACUCAGCCUACUAUAGGUUGGCAACCUCUCUCUUUGCCUCUCCCCUCUUUCCUUUUCUCUUUCCUACUUUUCCAUUCUUGCUUCAGUCAUUUGUUUUAAAAUAACAUGCUUCAUCCAUCGCGUAUGGCUUAACUCAUAUCCAGCUGAGCUGGUGCUUCCAAAUUUAAAUUCUGAAAAUUUGAUGACUUUGGUUGUGUUAUAAAUGCAGGUGUUAUAAGUGAUCAAACACAUGCUAACACGUUGCUCACUGGGUUCUUGUGGAGUGUUCUCUGUGUGCAUAUGUGUUUGUAUGAGUGCUGCAUCACUGACUACCUCACAGAUCCUUGGGUCUGGUGUUUGUUAUUGCAUGU
rnacentral:sRNA from 1 species